rnacentral:tRNA from 1 species
GGGGUUGUGGCUCAGCAGUAGAGCCUGCACCUAGCAUGUGUGAGGCCCUGGGUUCGAUCCCCAGCACCA